AAACUUUCAACAACGGAUCUCUUGGUUCCGGCAUCGAUGAAGAACGCAGCGAAAUGCGAUAAGUAAUGUGAAUUGCAGAAUUCCGUGAAUCAUCGAAUCUUUGAACGCACAUUGCGCCCCCUGGCAUUCCGGGGGGCAUGCCUGUUC
rnacentral:rRNA from 1 species